GAAAGUCGGAUUAAUACCCCAUAAAACAGGGGUCCCGCAUGGGAAUAUUUGUUAAAGAUUCAUCGCUGAUAGAUAGGCAUGCGUUCCAUUAGGCAGUUGGCGGGGUAACGGCCCACCAAACCGACGACGGAUAGGGGUUCUGAGAGGAAGGUCCCCCACAUUGGUACUGAGACACGGACCAAACUCCUACGGGAGGCAGCAGUGAGGAAUAUUGGUCAAUGGCCGAGAGGCUGAACCAGCCAAGUCGCGUGAAGGAAGAAGGAUCUAUGGUUUGUAAACUUCUUUUAUAGGGGAAUAAAGUGGAGGACGUGUCCUUUUUUGUAUGUACCCUAUGAAUAAGCAUCGGCUAACUCCGUGCCAGCAGCCGCGGUAAUACGGAGGAUGCGAGCGUUAUCCGGAUUUAUUGGGUUUAAAGGGUGCGUAGGUGGUGAUUUAAGUCAGCGGUGAAAGUUUGUGGCUCAACCAUAAAAUUGCCGUUGAAACUGGGUUACUUGAGUGUGUUUGAGGUAGGCGGAAUGCGUGGUGUAGCGGUGAAAUGCAUAGAUAUCACGCAGAACUCCGAUUGCGAAGGCAGCUUACUAAACCAUAACUGACACUGAAGCACGAAAGCGUGGGGAUCAAACAGGAUUAGAUACCCUGGUAGUCCACGCAGUAAACGAUGAUUACUAGGAGUUUGCGAUACAAUGUAAGCUCU
rnacentral:rRNA from 1 species